rnacentral:siRNA from 1 species
UAAAAGCCUAUGUAGUGUUUCC